AACGAACGCUGGCGGCAUGCCUAACACAUGCAAGUCGAACGAGACCUUCGGGUCUAGUGGCGCACGGGUGCGUAACGCGUGGGAAUCUGCCCUUGGGUUCGGAAUAACAGUUGGAAACGACUGCUAAUACCGGAUGAUGACGUAAGUCCAAAGAUUUAUCGCCCAAGGAUGAGCCCGCGUAGGAUUAGCUAGUUGGUGAGGUAAAGGCUCACCAAGGCGACGAUCCUUAGCUGGUCUGAGAGGAUGAUCAGCCACACUGGGACUGAGACACGGCCCAGACUCCUACGGGAGGCCGCAGUGGGGGAUAUUGGAAAAUGGGCGAAAGCCUGAUCCAGCCAUGCCGCGUGAGUGAUGAAGGCCUUAGGGUUGUAAAGCUCUUUUACCCGGGAUGAUAAUGACAGUACCGGGAGAAUAAGCUCCCGCUAACUCCGUG
rnacentral:rRNA from 1 species